UAACUCAAAAGCAAAGAUUAGGUUAGAUUAGAUUAAUCUAAUCUUAUAUAGUUUAUAAAUAGCCUCCGUAAUAAUAUUUUAACCAAUUUUGUUUACAACUGACAGACCAGAUGUCGCUGGCGUCGUCUGGGUCGCUUCGUUUCCUAUCUUUCUCUCCCUAAUCUUUGGUUCUAGUUCUAGUCUAGUCAACUUUAGUGUUUCGUGUUGUCAAAGUUAAGCAACAAAUCCCAUAGGCGUAUCAUAGGGAAGGACAAGGUACCACUGCUAAUGAAUGUAGAACUCGUUUGGAGGAGGACUUAAAGAACAUGGAUGAAUGGUUUAUAAACAAUGACCUUGAAAUAAACGUCAAUAAAACAAAGCUGAAGAGUCCAUAUCAUUCUUAGGGGUGUACAUUGAUCAGAACCUAAAUUGGAGGUCACAAAUCGAACAUGUGGCCACAGGCCUAGCAAGAUAUGAGAAGCCUGUCGAGAACGAUUGGUAUUGAAGCGGCACUGACAGCAUACCAUGCCUAUGUGCAGUCCAGACUUAGGUAUGGAAUAAUCUUUUGGGCGUGUUAAUGUUACCCAUUAUGCAUUAUACAUUAUACUAACAAUCUGGAAUAAAUUACCUCAAUAUUUU